rnacentral:rRNA from 1 species
AUGGGCCGGAUCCCGUGCUGCGAGAAGGACAACGUGAAGCGCGGGCAGUGGACGCCCGAGGAGGACAACAAGCUGCUCUCCUACAUCACGCAGCACGGCACGCGCAACUGGCGCCUCAUCCCCAAGAACGCCGGGCUGCAGCGGUGCGGGAAGAGCUGCCGCCUGCGGUGGACCAACUACCUGCGGCCCGACCUCAAGCACGGCGAGUUCACUGACGCCGAGGAGCAGACCAUCAUCAAGCUGCACUCCGUCGUCGGCAACAGGUGGUCGGUGAUCGCGGCCCAGCUGCCGGGGCGGACGGACAACGACGUCAAGAACCACUGGAACACCAAGCUCAAGAAGAAGCUGUCCGGGAUGGGCAUCGAUCCCGUCACGCACAAGUCCUUCUCGCACCUCAUGGCCGAGAUCGCCACCACGCUCGCCCCGCCGCAGGUGGCGCACCUCGCCGAGGCCGCCCUCGGGUGCUUCAAGGACGAGAUGCUCCACCUCCUCACCAAGAAGCGCCCCACCGACUUCCCCUCGCCCGCCAUGCCCGACAUGGCGGCGGGCGCCAGCGCGGGCAUGGCCAUGGGCUCGGGCGCGCACAUCGCGCCCUGCUUCGCCGCGCCGCCACAAGCCGACGACACCAUCGAGCGCAUCAAGAUGGGCCUGUCCCGCGCCAUCAUGAGCGAGCCCGCCGCUCCCGCGGCCGACAAGCCGUGGCCAUCGGGCGACAUGUCCGAGGGGCUGGCCGGCAUGUACGCCGCGUUCAACCCCGCGCAGGCGACGGAGUUCCGGUACGAAGGGACGGCGUCGGGGUACGUCCUUGGGGGCGACGGCGACCAGGGCACGUCGAUGUGGAGCCACCACAGCAUGUACAGCGGGAGCUCCGGCACCGAGGGGGGCAGGCCGGCAUUGCAGGAAAAGGGCAACGACAGUGUCGGCAGCAGCGGCGGCGACGAGGAGGCGGAAGACGGCAAGGAGGGAGGGAAGGGAGCCUCCGACAUGUCGGGGCUGUUUGGAUCCGAUUGCGUACUCUGGGACUUGCCCGACGAGCUGACGAAUCACAUGUGUGACUAA